rnacentral:rRNA from 1 species
UACGAAGGGGGCUAGCGUUGCUCGGAAUCACUGGGCGUAAAGCGCACGUAGGCGGCUUUCUAAGUCAGGGGUGAAAUCCUGGAGCUCAACUCCAGAACUGCCUUUGAUACUGGAGAGCUCGAGUCCGGAAGAGGUGAGUGGAACUGCGAGUGUAGAGGUGAAAUUCGUAGAUAUUCGCAAGAACACCAGUGGCGAAGGCGGCUCACUGGUCCGGUACUGACGCUGAGGUGCGAAAGCAUGGGGAGCGAACAGG